GUGCACCAUGCGAGAAACCUCCGCAAUGCGGGAAACCGCGACGGGGGACCCGAGUGCCGUGGCAACGCCACGGCUUUUCCGGAGUGUAAAGAGCUCCGGGAAUAAGGGCUGGGCAAGGCCGGUGGCAGCCGCCGCGGUAAUACCGGCGGCCCGAGUGGUGGCCGCUAUUAUUGGGCCUAAAGCGUCCGUAGCCGGGCCCGUAAGUCCCUGGCGAAAUCCCACGGCUCAACCGUGGGGCUUGCUGGGGAUACUGCGGGUCUUGGGACCGGGAGAGGCGGGGGGUACCCCUGGGGUAGGGGUGGAAAUCCUAUAAUCCCAGGGGGACCGCCAGUGGCGAAGGCGCCCCGCUGGAACGGGUCCGACGGUGAGGGACGAAGGCCAGGGGAGCAAACCGGAUUAGAUACCCCCGUAGU
rnacentral:rRNA from 1 species